rnacentral:tRNA from 5 species
GCGGACGUGGCGGAAUUGGUAGACGCGCUAGAUUUAGGUUCUAGUGUCUUUGACGUGAGAGUUCGAGUCUCUCCGUCCGCA